rnacentral:rRNA from 1 species
GAUGAACGCUGGCGGCGUGCCUAACACAUGCAAGUCGAGCGAUUCUCCUCGGAGAAGAGCGGCGGACGGGUGAGUAACGCGUGGGUAACCUGCCCUGUACACACGGAUAACAUACCGAAAGGUAUGCUAAUACGAGAUAAUAUGCUUUUAUCGCAUGGUAGAAGUAUCAAAGCUCCGGCGGUACAGGAUGGACCCGCGUCUGAUUAGCUAGUUGGUAAGGUAACGGCUGACCAAGGCGACGAUCAGUAGCCGACCUGAGAGGGUGAUCGGCCACAUUGGAACUGAGACACGGUCCAAACUCCUACGGGAGGCAGCAGUGGGGAAUAUUGCACAAUGGGCGAAAGCCUGAUGCAGCAACGCCGCGUGAGCGAUGAAGGCCUUCGGGUCGUAAAGCUCUGUCCUCAAGGAAGAUAAUGACGGUACUUGAGGAGGAAGCCCCGGCUAACUACGUGCCAGCCGCCGCCGUAACAC